AGAGUUUGAUCCUGGCUCAGAAUGAACGCUGGCGGCGUGCCUAACACAUGCAAGUCGAGCGAGAAAGUCCCCUUUCGGGGGGCGAGUAAAGCGGCGCACGGGUGAGUAACGCGUGGGUAACCUGCCCUAGAGUGGGGGAUAACCAGCCGAAAGGCUGACUAAUCCCGCAUACGACCGGCAGACACAAGUCUGCUGGGGAAAGAUGGCCUCUGCUUGCAAGCUAUCGCUCUGGAUGGGCCUGCGUUGGAUUAGCUAGUUGGUGAGGUAAUGGCUCACCAAGGCUGCGAUCCAUAGCUGGUUUGAGAGGACGACCAGCCACACUGGAACUGAGACACGGUCCAGACUCCUACGGGAGGCAGCAGUGAGGAAUAUUGCGCAAUGGGGGAAACCCUGACGCAGCGACGCCGUGUGAGCGAUGAAGGCCUUCGGGUCGUAAAGCUCUGUCAGAGGGAAAGAAAGGGCCGGAGGAAUAAUACCCUUCGGCAUUGACGGUACCCUCAGAGGAAGCACCGGCUAACUCCGUGCCAGCAGCCGCGGUAAUACGGAGGGUGCAAGUGUUAUUCGGAAUCACUGGGCGUAAAGAGCACGUAGGCGGAUUGGUAAGUCAGGUGUGAAAUCCCGGGGCUCAACUCCGGAACUGCAUUUGAUACUGCCAGUCUUGAGUGAGGUAGAGGGGAGUGGAAUUCCCGGUGUAGAGGUGAAAUUCGUAGAUAUCGGGAGGAACACCAGAGGCGAAGGCGACUCCCUGGGCCUCUACUGACGCUGAGGUGCGAAAGCGUGGGGAGCAAACAGGAUUAGAUACCCUGGUAGUCCACGCCGUAAACGAUGAGUACUAGGUGCGGGGGGUAUAAACUCCCUCCGUGUCGCAGCUAACGCAUUAAGUACUCCGCCUGGGAAGUACGGUCGCAAGGCUGAAACUCAAAUGAAUUGACGG
rnacentral:rRNA from 1 species